AGAGUUUGAUCCUGGCUCAGAUUGAACGCUGGCGGCAUGCCUUACACAUGCAAGUCGGACGGCAGCGCGGGGCAACCUGGCGGCGAGUGGCGAACGGGUGAGUAAUAUAUCGGAACAUACCCUAGAGUGGGGGAUAACGUAGCGAAAGUUACGCUAAUACCGCAUACGCACUAAGGUGGAAAGCGGGGGAUCGCAAGACCUCGUGCUCCUGGAGUGGCCGAUAUCUGAUUAGCUAGUUGGUGAGGUAAAGGCUCACCAAGGCAACGAUCAGUAGCUGGUUUGAGAGAACGACCAGCCACACUGGAACUGAGACACGGUCCAGACUCCUACGGGAGGCAGCAGUGGGGAAUUUUGGACAAUGGGGGCAACCCUGAUCCAGCAAUGCCGCGUGAGUGAAGAAGGCCCUCGGGUUGUAAAGCUCUUUUGUCAGGGAAGAAACGGUCUACUCUAAUACAGUGGGCUAAUGACGGUACCUGAAGAAUAAGCACCGGCUAACUACGUGCCAGCAGCCGCGGUAAUACGUAGGGUGCAAGCGUUAAUCGGAAUUACUGGGCGUAAAGCGUGCGCAGGCGGUUUUAUAAGUCUGAUGUGAAAUCCCCGGGCUCAACCUGGGAACUGCAUUGGAGACUGUAAGGCUAGAGUGUGUCAGAGGGGGGUAGAAUUCCACGUGUAGCAGUGAAAUGCGUAGAUAUGUGGAGGAAUACCGAUGGCGAAGGCAGCCCCCUGGGAUAACACUGACGCUCAUGCGCGAAAGUGUGGGGAGCAAACAGGAUUAGAUACCCUGGUAGUCCACGCCCUAAACGAUGUCUACUAGUUGUCGGGUCUUAAUUGACUUGGUAACGCAGCUAACGCGUGAAGUAGACCGCCUGGGGAGUACGGUCG
rnacentral:rRNA from 1 species